CUUUGACCUUCCAGGCUCUCCACGCAAGCCAGUCAGAACACCUUGCUGUCAUGACUCGACUACACAGCCAGCUACAUGUCCCAGAACCUCUACACUCUGAAAGACCAGCCCUAAACAACAGCGGUGAACCUAAAGAAGAAGAGGUAUCUUGCUGCCGACCCAAACUGCAGUUAGACAAUCAAAGAGGGGCCGUUGAGAAAUGGACAGCCAAGACUUCGGGCCCAGCCUAGGCCAGGUGCAGCAGACAAAUCGGUCACAAGACUCCUCUACACAAAGGACCUGCCAAGCACCGAGACCCUCAGACCUCACAGCCACACACAGCCCCCCUGCAGAAGUUUAAAACCUGCAAUGAGAUAUACUGGCUGAGAGCAGAAC